rnacentral:rRNA from 1 species
UAUUACGACAAUUUAUUUUGGCGUUGCUCAGUUGUGUGCCCGAUCAACAACGGUUUCAUUUGGGAUACCUUUGGGACCCGUCUUGAAACACGGACCAAGGAGUCUAUCUAGUAUGCAAGUAAAUGGGAAUAUUGUAAACCUAUUUGCGUAAAUAACUUGACUGUUUUAAUGGGAUUACGAGUGUUUUAUCGUUUUAUAACGGGCGCUCCUCCAUCCCGGGGUAUUUUCAUAACAUAUAGUGUACUUGUAUGCUAUAUAGAAAAUAUACCAUGAGCAUACUGGAUAUGACCCGAAAGAUGGUGAACUAUGCCUGAUCAGGUUGAAGUCAGGGGAAACCCUGAUGGAGGACCGAAGCAAUUCUGACGUGCAAAUCG